rnacentral:rRNA from 1 species
GACGAACGCUGGCGGCGUGCUUAACACAUGCAAGUCGAACGAGCCCCUCCUUCGGGAGGUGUGCUAGUGGCGAACGGGUGAGUAACACGUGGGCAACCUGCCCCCGGCUCUGGGAUAACUCCAAGAAAUUGGGGCUAAUACCGGAUAUUCACCGCUGACCGCAUGGUCGGUGGUGGAAAGGGUUUCCGGCUGGGGAUGGGCCCGCGGCCUAUCAGCUUGUGGGUGGGGUGAUGGCCUACCAAGGCGACGACGGGUAGCCGGCCUGAGAGGGUGACCGGCCACACUGGGACUGAGACACGGCCCAGACUCCUACGGGAGGCAGCAGUGGGGAAUAUUGCGCAAUGGGCGGAAGCCUGACGCAGCGACGCCGCGUGGGGGAUGACGGCCUUCGGGUUGUAAACCUCUUUCAGCAGGGACGAAGCGCAAGUGACGGUACCUGCAGAAGAAGCACCGGCCAACUACGUGCCAGCCGCCGCAGUAAAAC